rnacentral:miRNA from 14 species
UCGUGAUCGUGAACGUGAUCGUGACCGUGAACGUGAUCGUGAUCGUGAACGUGAUCGUGAUCGUGAUCGUGAACGUGAUCGUGAUCGUGAUCGUGA